rnacentral:lncRNA from 1 species
CCUCUAGGACUGUCUCGUUCGUAUUCAGGGAUAGAUUGAGAGUUGUCCAGGCCAGUCAAAGCCCCACCUAUAGAUGGAAGAAAGAAGCUUCUUGAACAACUGUUGAUAGGGCCGAGGAUAGAAGAACCACCAUCCCCAUUUUUGAGGAUAUUUAUUCAAUACAAAAAUGGUCUGAAAUAAGGAAACUCAAGGCUUAAUCCAA